AGUGAACGCUGGCGGUAGGCCUAACACAUGCAAGUCGAACGGCAGCACAGUAAGAGCUUGCUCUUACGGGUGGCGAGUGGCGGACGGGUGAGGAAUACAUCGGAAUCUACUUUUUCGUGGGGGAUAACGUAGGGAAACUUACGCUAAUACCGCAUACGACCUACGGGUGAAAGCAGGGGAUCUUCGGACCUUGCGCGAUUGAAUGAGCCGAUGUCGGAUUAGCUAGUUGGCGGGGUAAAGGCCCACCAAGGUGACGAUCCGUAGCUGGUCUGAGAGGAUGAUCAGCCACACUGGAACUGAGACACGGUCCAGACUCCUACGGGAGGCAGCAGUGGGGAAUAUUGGACAAUGGGCGCAAGCCUGAUCCAGCCAUACCGCGUGGGUGAAGAAGGCCUUCGGGUUGUAAAGCCCUUUAGUUGGGAAAGAAAAGCAGCAGGUUAAUACCCCGCUGUUCUGACGGUACCCAAAGAAUAAGCACCGGCUAACUUCGUG
rnacentral:rRNA from 1 species